AGGCGGAGGCUGACCCAUUUCCACAGGUAGACCGACUCUAGAGUAUUUCAAGUAUGUACAAAGAUUCAAUAUGGCGGACGGCAAGGGAGAAACGAAGUCGUGGAAGGAGGUUAUAAUGCUACGUUUCUGAAAUGAUCAAAUCUAAGACAUCCUGAAACUCAAAAUUGUACGUCGUUGAUUUAGGCAAGUUUCAUCGAACAUCUGAACCUUACUUAUGUUUUUCAUGUCAAGGUCCCUUACAAGCCAAAGCUGACAAAACAGGCUUGGCUUUUAGUAUAUUUCAUGUUGGUAUUGUUGCCGCUCCUCGCUCCCUGCCGUCGUAAAAAAGAGCAAAAUAUGGAUAAACCACUUCCACCGUAUAACUAACUGGCAAAAAAAGAACCUAGACGAAAUUUACCGAGCAAGGGGAUUUAUCCAUCCAUGAAGAGAAUCCAUAUCCAGAUCUGCAAGUGGUGUGAUCUGGAUAUCCUUGAAAUGGCUGUGGGCUCUUGCAUGAACUGGCUGAAAUGGCCAAAGUUUUCUCAAAUCCCGGACCAUCCCUUGCUGGUCUGCUUCCGAACUCACAGUGGAAUGGUGAGAAGAGUUGUGUAGGUGGAUUUUUUGGUCAAAGUUAUCCAAAAUGGCCUUGACGCCAGCUGCUGCCUUAGAGGCUCUGACCAUGGCCUUCUCUGUCUUGUUUGUUUGUCUGAUUAUCAUUUUUAAAGAUCAAAUUUAUCAUAUACAAUCAUGUUCAUGUCACAGGGGGGGUGCUUACCCCCCUCCCCCCCCCCCCCCACACACACAAAUUUCUUUACACUAUCUGGCACGGUUUACGUUGCUUGCGAUUGCUUGAUAAAGACGAUAUUAUACCA